GACGAACGCUGGCGGCGUGCCUAAUACAUGCAAGUCGAACGAACUCUGGUAUUGAUUGGUGCUUGCAUCAUGAUUUACAUUUGAGUGAGUGGCGAACUGGUGAGUAACACGUGGGAAACCUGCCCAGAAGCGGGGGAUAACACCUGGAAACAGAUGCUAAUACCGCAUAACAACUUGGACCGCAUGGUCCGAGUUUGAAAGAUGGCUUCGGCUAUCACUUUUGGAUGGUCCCGCGGCGUAUUAGCUAGAUGGUGGGGUAACGGCUCACCAUGGCAAUGAUACGUAGCCGACCUGAGAGGGUAAUCGGCCACAUUGGGACUGAGACACGGCCCAAACUCCUACGGGAGGCAGCAGUAGGGAAUCUUCCACAAUGGACGAAAGUCUGAUGGAGCAACGCCGCGUGAGUGAAGAAGGGUUUCGGCUCGUAAAACUCUGUUGUUAAAGAAGAACAUAUCUGAGAGUAACUGUUCAGGUAUUGACGGUAUUUAACCAGAAAGCCACGGCUAACUACGUGCCAGCAGCCGCGGUAAUACGUAGGUGGCAAGCGUUGUCCGGAUUUAUUGGGCGUAAAGCGAGCGCAGGCGGUUUUUUAAGUCUGAUGUGAAAGCCUUCGGCUCAACCGAAGAAGUGCAUCGGAAACUGGGAAACUUGAGUGCAGAAGAGGACAGUGGAACUCCAUGUGUAGCGGUGAAAUGCGUAGAUAUAUGGAAGAACACCAGUGGCGAAGGCGGCUGUCUGGUCUGUAACUGACGCUGAGGCUCGAAAGUAUGGGUAGCAAACAGGAUUAGAUACCCUGGUAGUCCAUACCGUAAACGAUGAAUGCUAAGUGUUGGAGGGUUUCCGCCCUUCAGUGCUGCAGCUAACGCAUUAAGCAUUCCGCCUGGGGAGUACGGCCGCAAGGCUGAAACUCAAAGGAAUUGACGGGGGCCCGCACAAGCGGUGGAGCAUGUGGUUUAAUUCGAAGCUACGCGAAGAACCUUACCAGGUCUUGACAUACUAUGCAAAUCUAAGAGAUUAGACGUUCCCUUCGGGGACAUGGAUACAUGUGGUGCAUGGUUGUCGUCAGCUCGUGUCGUGAGAUGUUGGGUUAAGUCCCGCAACGAGCGCAACCCUUAUUAUCAGUUGCCAGCAUUAAGUUGGGCACUCUGGUGAGACUGCCGGUGACAAACCGGAGGAAGGUGGGGAUGACGUCAAAUCAUCAUGCCCCUUAUGACCUGGGCUACACACGUGCUACAAUGGAUGGUACAACGAGUUGCGAACUCGCGAGAGUAAGCUAAUCUCUUAAAGCCAUUCUCAGUUCGGAUUGUAGGCUGCAACUCGCCUACAUGAAGUCGGAAUCGCUAGUAAUCGCGGAUCAGCAUGCCGCGGUGAAUACGUUCCCGGGCCUUGUACACACCGCCCGUCACACCAUGAGAGUUUGUAACACCCAAAGUCGGUGGGGUAACCUUUUAGGAACCAGCCGCCUAAGGUGGGACAGAUGAUUAGGGUG
rnacentral:rRNA from 1 species